rnacentral:lncRNA from 1 species
UCUUUUCCAGAAACGAACAGCAACUGUUCCCCCCACCAUUUUCUUCAUUUUUUAGAUCUGCUAGGGUUUCAAAAGGAACCCAUUUCGCCGCCAUCGUCGGACCGCCACCGUAUACGGUGGCCGACGUUCCCAAGUCACCCUUUUUUCGGCCGAUUUGGCUCUCCCUACCUCGUUUUAAAACCCAAAACUCUUAAAAAAUAAAACAACAGACAAUAAACCCUCGGUUUCCUCCUCCAAUCUUAAGAAAGGUAAUGUUUUUUUUCUUCUCUUUUCUUUUUAUUUUCUUUUUUUCUAACAAAAACAAGCAUGAAAGCAAAAUAAUCAAGAAAAAGGAACAACCUUUUUACUAUUUUUUGUAUUUCGAUUUCUAUGGGACCUUUUUUGUAUUGAUUUUUUGAAUAUUCAAGAAUUCCCCCAUUUACAAUCGGUUCCCCCCUUUUUGAAUUUAGAAAAACUGCUUUUUUUGAAUUCGGAAAAAAACCCCCUUUAAUACAUUGUUUCUUCUCGGCUUUAUAGCCGGCUACAAUAUUAGGAAAAUAUUAUUUAUUUUUGUCAUUUUCGUUUGUCUGCUUCUGUCUUGGUGUCUGCUUCAUUUUGCAGGUGUCAGAUGACCCUCAGAGGCGUACGGAGUGGCGAUGACAGAGGCGUGGUGGCCGAGCACACGUGGAGAGGCCGAUGGUUCGGCGGCCACAUGCUUGGGGCUAGGGUUUUUUUACUUGUUUAGCAGAAAAUAUUUUGUGGGCUAAGUUUUUAUGUUUAUUGGGCUUAUUGGGCUUGCAACUGGGUAAUGGGUUUUGUAAUUGUUUUAUUUGGUUUUUGGGCCCCGGGCAAAAUUU